rnacentral:lncRNA from 1 species
UUUUUUUGUUUUUGUUUUUUUUUUUUUUAUCAUUUAUGCAGAGUAUAAGGAAAAGCACAGGAUUUAAAAAAAUGAGUGUGGGUGGAUGUUUUUGAUAGUCCACAUAACUGCUCCCUAGGACAGGUAGUUCUAGAAUGAUUAGGAAGGAAGGGGGUGGUAGGGGUGGGAGGAAACAGGGCUCCUUAUACAAAGCAGCUUCAGGAAUCAGCUGAAGCUAAGCCACCUAUAACAAAACUCGACCCCAUGUCCUAGUGGUAGAGGGAAAUCCCAAGGAAAAUCACACAAUUUUAGAAAGGGAAACAGGGGCAGAAUGACAUCAUUAGUAAAGAAAAACUACAAACAAAAAUAAUCCACAAGAUGUCUUAAAAGCAGUUUAGAAACAUUAUAAAGCCUAGAGUAAACUAGGCCUAGUUUACAAGUAAACUUGGCCUAGGUCCAACGGAAUAAAAAAAAAAAAAAAAAAGAGCUUGAAAAAGUCCUUUACUACCAGGGAUAUUAAAAGGCAGAGGAACAUAAAUAUAUAUGAAAUAUAAAUAGAUUUAAGAAAAAAAAAAAAAAGGCUGCAAAAUGUGGUACUUCAGGUAUAACUUAGGAAUUAUGGGAGUCCAAAGAAAGAAACUAAAGAAUAGCAUGAAUGGCUGUCUAUAGAACCGAUGUAAGUUUUCAAGUGUAGCAAAGGGAAGGGAUCCAGUGGGGUAUUAUGCAAACCACCUGACCACAGGAAUGAGAAAGUAGACCCAGGGUAAUAAGGCAAAAGCCAGGAAACUAGACCUUCUGCCUCAGUCUAUCUCAAGGGUGUUACCUGUUUCACCUUUUAAAGGGACAAUCAGAUCAAAGGACGAUGCCAGGUUUACGUGACCUUUGAUAACAAAUCGAGAAAGCAGAUGUAGAUGAGUCAUCCUUGCUGGAUGGCAUCCAUGUAUACAUUCUAAAACUAAUUCAAAAGGUGGAAACUUGAGAUCGUAGAUCAAUGUAGAUAGGCUUUUAAACUGCCACAUUCUAGACAAUUUGAGAUUGGUCGAAAGAUUUUCCCCACAACCAGUCAUCAGGAGGAGACAGGGGGAACUCCCUUUCAGAAUAAAGUGAAUCCCAGGGAAAAGUAUCAAACAAGGGAGGCUCUGUCCCUGUCAGAGAAGGCACAGGGGAGAAGAGCGAGUGCAGGCCAGGAGAGAGAAGAUCAUAGCUUGCUCUCCUGUUGACUAGCAUUUGAUCUCAAAUUACUGAACCUUCUAAGAUCUCAGUUUCUUCAUCCUUAAAAGUAUAAUAGUCCCUAACCAAAAAAUAAAAUAGGGUUAUUUUCGCGGAGCUAACAUGACCACGACUGUCAAAUAACAUCAGCAACUAGUAUUUCUCAAGCUUUCACUACAGUGCCAGGCACUGGGCUGGAUGUUUUACCUGCGAUCCUCCCACUGCAGGUGCUAUUCUUGCUUUCUUCCCCACAGAGUAUUCUUGGGGCCCAGUUAAGUUCACAUAGGUGGGAAAAAAAAAAAAAAAAAAAAAAAACAUCAGGUGUAAUCAUUGUGAGCAUUUAGGUACCUAUGAAGAGAUCUAGUAACAAGCAUGUAUCACUGAACGAGCAACCAAAGAGAAAAUAUUGGAGAAGAUAAAACAGUUUCUGAAAAAAAAAUGAAAUACACUGGAUUAAAUUGCUAGUGCAUUACCUAAGGUUGCUAAAAACUCCUAUGUUCGUGAAGUAAGAACAAAUUAAUUGUGGAUGGCAUCGUGUAAUAUCCUCCUAUUUUAAAAAUAAAAGCACUCACCAAAAAGUAUAUUCGAUAGGGCACUGAUGAAUAAAUAAUGGUAUGGGACACUAUGCAACCAUUAACGAAGAUGUUGUAGGUGAAUAUUUAAUAGAGAAUAACAUUUCAUGAUAUGCUAUUAAAAGAAAAGAGUAAAUCACCAGGUAUCUGUAAACCAUGAUCCUAAUUUUGUAACUUGAAUAUAUAUGCCUGGGGUGGGAGGGAGUCUGUAAUGGUAUACAAAAAUGAGAGCUAAUAAAGGUUCUCUAGGAUCGAGCAUAUGAUUAAUUUUUCAUUUUCUUCCUGUGCUUUUCUUGGUUUUCUCAUUUUUCUGCAAUAAGCCCCUUAAUUCAUAAUGAGAAACUUCUAAAAACGCAAAUGAUUCUUUAAGCUGUAUCAGGGAAAACUGUAGCUUCACUCAUUCUAAGAAUAUAUAUAUAUAUAUAUAUAUAUAAAAGCAAGCUUUGCUUUGGAAUGCAAUGGGAAGUACUUCAAUGUUCCUUCAGUGUUGCCAAGGUUUAUUUAACAAUAUUUUCUCACCAUAUAUUAUACAAGAACAGAACUAAACAGAUGGUCUACAUCGGAAACCCAGCAAUCUAGGAAAAGCGAUCCUCACUACCUACUCAUCAUAUAUUACACACUAUAUAUUACACACACAGGUCCCUGUUGCCUUGUCAAUAACAUAUAUGCCCAAGUCCCACAUAGACCCCAUAUGGCAAAGUCAUCCUACAGGACACACACACAUCUAUCUGUGUAGGUCUUCACAAAAGGACGUGAGAGAUCUCCACACUCACAUGACCCCCCUGACUUUAAAAGUCAAAUCCUUGCCUCGCAUAUUUGUACAUUUAACACAAGAAAAACUAAAUAGCUUGGAAGUUGCAGCAAGCAAAAGCCAGGCUUGAAUUUGACUCUGUGUUAUGUAUGCAAAUGGCAUCUUGGCAUCAGAUUAGUCUUCCAGAAGCAACAUUUCCCUUAUGUCACUUCCUUCCUGAACCAAUCAAUGGCCCUUUAUUUCUUUCAGGAUUAAGUACAAAUGGCUCAGCCUGGCAUGCAAGGUUCACCCCGAGUCUUCAGGCUUCUUUGUCAAUACUUUCCAACAUGAACCCUUAACUCCGCUCAGCCUGAAGUCCACACUAUAAUCCAAAUACAGAAAAAAUAUCCCUUCCCUCUAUGCCUUUGCUUGUAUUCUUUGCCCCGGAGAAAGUUUCCCCCAUCUUUUCCCUUGCCCCUAAUAAAUCCUCCUAUCCUUCAGUAUACCCUGCACCUGAAUAAGGGCAGGUCAUUGACAUGGCCUCAUUCCCAUCCUCUGGUUUCCUUGAUUUUCUCAAUCUCUCCGUUUUACACCUUAGCUUACUUUGGGUAUUCCUCUUUAGGAAAGUAUUUAAGAAUACUAGACUUCCAAUAAAUAGAUCUUGAAUUACGCUCAAAUAUCUAUCGGUAUAAAGGUUUAUAGGUGCCCCCCCCCCCAAAAAAAGAGCCAGGAUUAUGACUUGAGUGACUUACCUAUAAAUGGUGCUACCACCAAUUACAAAAACAAUUUUGUUCUUUUUUAAAAAACCUAGCCUUAAAAUUAGGUCAGCAAGACCCGCUCCGUGAAAAGAUUCUAUUAGAAACUAGUUUUGGUUUUGUGGUUGUUUUGUUUUUUCUAUGUAUAUGAAAUAAAACUGCAUUAUUUAAAAAAUUAUGUUUUAUUCAGCUAUCUUGCCAAGAGUAUACUUCUCCCCAGUCUGAAUAAAAUCAGCCUUGUCUUAUUUUUUGAGCUCAAAGAGAGCCUUGAGAUUACUUCCAGAAUCAGAGAGUAAGUUGCCCAAGGUCACAUAGAUGGUUAGUCAAUACAAUUUUUAAUUAUCUAAGUUACUCCCAUACUACUUGGAGUAAUGCAGCCUAAGGGAAAGAACCUAGAUUUGGUGACAGAAGCCCAGGCUUCCAAGUCAAGCCCGGUUCUACUUGGUUUCGGCCUCUCUCCUCCAGGGUAGCGUGGAAAUAAUCAUGUACGACCUCCCAGGGUUGUUGGUAAUAGGUGACGAUAAGAUAUAAGCAUGGCCAUUUUCAAUUGUCCACUGUGUGUCCUCAGCCUAGACUGCAUAAACCAUUUACACUGUUGUGUGCCAGAGAAUCUCACUCAACCAAGCCCUGAGGAUUAUGCCUCUCUUUGUGCGUGCACUCUCCAAGGCCACCCCUUAGACCAAACCAUUGGCUCUCGUCUUAGCUCAUAGAAGCUUCUGAACUGGCAUCUCCCCAGCAUCCUCUUCCUCUCGCUGUCCUGCGGCUGGAGUGGUCCAUGAACAACUCACACCUCACGUGGCACUUUCCUUAAAACCCUUCAUUGCCUUCCCUCGCUUUUACUUAGGGAAGGCAAUCCCAUAUCCUUAGACGCAAUCCCAUAUCCUUGCAAUUCUCCUUAAGCAACCCCCCCGCCCCCCGGGGCAGGCUUAGUUCCCCCACACAGGUUUACCCUCUGCUAAAUUUCCUCUCCGGUCUCUGCACACCCCCCAUUCCUUCGUUUCCUGGAAGGUGUUCUUCUCCUUCAUAACUCAAACCAUAGCAAGACUCCUCCUCACCGUGAGAGCUCUCUCUACCCCGCUCUCCUACUUGUCAUUCAAAUCCAAUUACAUGUCAAUUCCUUCAGGAAAGCUUUCCUUGCUCCCCAGAGUAAGGAAAAGUCUCCCACAGAUUCUCAUGGUACCCUAAAUUCUCCUUCGGUGAUUCUUACAAUGGUAAUUAAUUUGUUAUCUUUUAAGCAUCUGCCUCCUUUACUAUAAGGUUUAUAAGAGCGUUUGCUUAGGCUUAAUAAAUACUUAUGGGAAGGAGAGAGAGAGAGAGAGAGAAAGAGAGAAGGGAUAUUAGUUGUUUCUUGCAUAUCUGCUCACCUUCUUAUACUCUGUUUAUACCCAAACUGGCAGACAUGCCUACCCAUCCUUCAUGCUGCACAUAUCAUACAAACAAAAAUAACUUUAAACCCACAGAAUGCCCACUCUCCUCCUUCCUCCUCAGCUCAAACCACAUUAUUACCUAAUGGGAAAGAUAGGAAAUUAAAAUUUCAGUAACAAAACCAUAGUU